rnacentral:rRNA from 1 species
AGGGUUUGAUUAUGGCUCAGGAUGAACGCUGGCGGCGUGCUUAACACAUGCAAGUCGAACGGGAUCCAUCGGGCUUUGCCUGGUGGUGAGAGUGGCGAACGGGUGAGUAAUGCGUGACCGACCUGCCCCAUGCACCGGAAUAGCUCCUGGAAACGGGUGGUAAUGCCGGAUGCUCCAUCACACCGCAUGGUGUGUUGGGAAAGCCUUUGCGGCAUGGGAUGGGGUCGCGUCCUAUCAGCUUGAUGGCGGGGUAACGGCCCACCAUGGCUUCGACGGGUAGCCGGCCUGAGAGGGCGACCGGCCACAUUGGGACUGAGAUACGGCCCAG